AGGACGAACGCUGGCGGCGUGCUUAACACAUGCAAGUCGAGCGGAAAGGCCCUUCGGGGUACUCGAGCGGCGAACGGGUGAGUAACACGUGAGCAACCUGCCCUUGGCUCUGGGAUAGCCUCCGGAAACGGGGAUUAAUACCGGACAUUCACUUUCUCCUGCAUGGGGGUUGGUGGAAAGUUUUUCGGCCAGGGAGGGGCUCGCGGCCUAUCAGCUUGUUGGCGGGUAACGGCCCACAAGGCGACGACGGGUAG
rnacentral:rRNA from 1 species